ensembl:snRNA U6 U6 spliceosomal RNA
GUGCUUACUUCGGCAGCACAUAUACUAAAAUUGGAAUGAUACAGGGAAGAUUAGCAUGGCCUCUGCACAAGGAUGACACACACAUUCGUGAAGGCUUUCAUGUUUUU